rnacentral:rRNA from 1 species
UUGUUGUGAUGCUAGACAUGCAGUUAAUGCAGUUAACACAUUAAGUGUACCGCCUGGGGAGUACGGUCGCAAGAUUAAAACUCAAAGGAAUAGACGGGGACCCGCACAAGCGGUGGAGCAUGUGGUUUAAUUUGACGAUACGCGAAGAACCUUACCUGGACUUGACAUAGUAAGAACUUUCAAGAGAUUGAUUGGUGUCUGCUUGCAGAAACUUAUAUACAGGUGCUGCACGGCUGUCGUCAGCUCGUGUCGUGAGAUGUUGGGUUAAGUCCCGCAACGAGCGCAACCCACGUCGUUAGUUGCUAACAGUUCGGCUGAGAACUCUAACGAGACUGCCUGGGCAACCAGGAGGAAGGUGUGGACGACGUCAAGUCAUCAUGGCCCUUACGUCCAGGGCUACACACGUGCUACAAUGGGGCAUACAAAGAGCAGCGAUACCGCGAGGUGGAGCAAAUCUCAAAAAUGCCUCCCAGUUCGGAUAGUAGUCUGCAACUCGACUACUUGAAGUUGGAAUCGCUAGUAAUCGUAGAUCAGCAAUGCUACGGUGAAUACGUUCCCGGGUCUUGUACUCACCGCCCGUCACACCAUGGGAGUUGAACUCAUUCGAAGCGGGGAUGCUAAAGUAGCUACCCUCCCCAGUGGAUUCAGCGACUGGGGUGAAGUCGUAACAAGGUAACCGUAGGAGAACCUGCGGCUGGAUCACCUCCUU